rnacentral:lncRNA from 1 species
UUUAUUGUGUUCCUCAAUAUUAAGGUAACUGCAAACAUAUUGCUGAAAGAAAAUAAAAGGUAAGUCUCCGGCUUUAGUCUACGAUAACUUAAAGAAGCAGACCCAGG